UAGUAAUCGUAGAUCAGCAUGCUACGGUGAAUACGUUCCCGGGUCUUGUACACACCGCCCGUCACACCACGAGAGUUUGUAACACCCGAAGCCGGUGGAGUAACCUUUUAGGAGCUAGCCGUCGAAGGUGGGACAAAUGAUUGGGGUGAAGUCGUAACAAGGUAGCCGUAUCGGAAGGUGCGGCUGGAUCACCUCCUUUCUAAGGA
rnacentral:rRNA from 1 species